rnacentral:rRNA from 1 species
CGAAGGUGGCAAGCGUUGUUCGGAAUCACUGGGCAUAAAGCGCGCGUAGGCGGCCAUGUAAGUCAGGUGUGAAAUACCUCGGCUCAACCGAGGAACUGCGCCUGAUACUGUGUGGCUUGAGGGUUGGAGGGGAGAGUGGAAUUCCCGGUGGAGCGGUGAAAUGCGUAGAGAUCGGGAAGAACGCCGGCGGCGAAAGCGACUCUCUGGUCAACUUCUGACGCUGAGGCGCGAAAGCUAGGGGAGCAAACGGGAUUAGAUACCCCGGUAGUCCUAGCCAUAAACGAUGGGUGCUAGGUAGUGGUCGUUCCUAUGCGAUCACUGCCGGAGCGAAUGUCUUAAGCACCCCGCCUGGGAAGUACGGUCGCAAGACUA